UACGAAGGGGGCUAGCGUUGCUCGGAAUCACUGGGCGUAAAGGGCGCGUAGGCGGCUUUUUAAGUCGGGGGUGAAAGCCUGUGGCUCAACCACAGAAUUGCCUUCGAUACUGGAAAGCUUGAGACCGGAAGAGGACAGCGGAACUGCGAGUGUAGAGGUGAAAUUCGUAGAUAUUCGCAAGAACACCAGUGGCGAAGGCGGCUGUCUGGUCCGGUUCUGACGCUGAGGCGCGGAAGCGUGGGGAGCAAACAGG
rnacentral:rRNA from 1 species